CUCCUACAAGGCACAACACGCAUUUUCCAUCUCUUCACUAUUCAUGGAGCCUUACCAGCUUGUGAAAUGUCAUCCCAAUAUGGAGGAUCAAACUCAUAGUCACCAGCCAAGAUCUUACGAAACAGGAGCAAGAAUGGGACUUCUUACUGAGCUGCAGAAAACAGCGAGAAAGACAGGGAGGGAAGGUUCUGACAACUGUUUGGGAAGGCACCUUGUGAAAAGGCAACAAGAUGGUUCACAGCUGCCCAGCCAUGCUAGAGCAAUCCAAGGGCCCUGGCAAUGCAAAAUGGAGAGACCACUGUGUAUGUGGCAUCUUAGGAGUUCUGGGUAACAUCCACUUACAGCUCCAAGAAGAGGAAGUACUCUUUCCGGGUAACAUACACAUCCACCAACUGCAGAAUGUUGGGGUGUUUCACCCUGCAGGGAAAGAAAGGAAGAGAAAAUCUAGGCAUUGGAAGAGACCUACUGGCCUAUCCAGUCUUGAUCUAACUUGCCCCCAGCCUGGAAAUAAAUUUUAAAUCAAUAAAUGAAUUUAUAUAUUAAAAAAUAAACCAGAAAAUCAAGGGUGAACAAUG